rnacentral:rRNA from 1 species
UACGAAGGGGGCUAGCGUUGCUCGGAAUCACUGGGUUUAAAGGGUGCGUAGGUGGGCAGGUAAGUCAGUGGUGAAAUCUCCGGGCUUAACUCGGAAACUGCCAUUGAUACUAUCUUUCUUGAAUACCGUGGAGGUCAGCGGAAUAUGUCAUGUAGCGGUGAAAUGCUUAGAUAUGACAUAGAACACCAAUUGCGAAGGCAGCUGGCUACACGAAUAUUGACACUGAUGCACGAAAGCGUGGGGAUCAAACAGG